rnacentral:piRNA from 2 species
UUCCAUCUAAUAGGAAUGCCAGUUUGCCU